UGGAGGCAUGAUCGUGUUGGGUAUGCGACCCCAACGGUCUGCAGUUUCUGAUCGAUUUUUGUGUGUUGUUUUCGGCCGGCGAUCGUCUGAGGUGCAGUCCGGUCGAGGGGUCGACUUUACGGUGAUGGUUCCCUUCGUUUGUUCUCGACCGUGAUUCCGGGGCUUGUGGGAGGUGCUGUGUGGCGGUAGAUUUUGGUUUCCCACUACCAUCUCUUUGUGUCCUCUCUGUCGUCGUAAGCCAUUUGAUUUACCUAAGUUGAUCUAUUGGGUUCCUUUCUGCCACCAGUCAUUUACGUCUGGGAGUGAUCGGAUAACGGCGAGUCAGUUGGGUGGUGGUGCUGGUCCGGGCGGUGAUGAUUUCGGUGUUUUGUGCGGCGGUGGUUAGAUUACGGGUUAGGGUUUUGUGGGGCUGGAUUUGACGGGCAGGUCUUUUUGGGCCAGUUUGUUUUUUGGGCUUUAUUGUAUAUUUGGUACCGAGUGUGCUGUAUUCUAUUAUUUUUUAGCUCCCAUGUUAGACCUUAGGGGUUGGGCUUUGCCCAUGUGAUAUACUGUCCAAAGUUUUAUUAGAUUUUCCUUUCCCCUCUCCCUGUUUUUUAAUAAAGUUUUUGCCUAUCAAAAAGAGAGAGAGAAGUCAAGAAAUGGAAGCUGAACUUGCAUUCCCUGACCACACUUGCCGCAGCCAUCUAGACAGCUGCCACACCAUUCUUUUCCAUUGAACCCGACAAUCCACCUUUUUCGUCUAUUCAUCCAUUGUCCUCCGCUCUCUCCUCCAAACAGCCACCAAGAAACCCAAAUUCAAAUCAAAUAGUUAAGAAAAGUCCCAUAACUGAACAUUCCACCGUUGCCGUCCACCACCAGCAAAACCCGUCACUUUCCAACCUUCAAAACCAUUGUCAUCACUUUCCUUAUCACCUCCCGACCUCUCCCAACUUUCCCUCACUCAUUAAGAGCCAACCCAUUGUCUUGGACCCAAUUAAUUGUACGUAGUUUGUCCCUAGAACUAUGUUGCCGUCGAACCGUCGUCGUGGUUAAUCAUCCUAGCAGCCACAAACAUACAAUAAACUAUCAUAAUCCUUACUGGUCCCACGUGCUUGGAGUGCUCGACUCAUUCCUCGGCCGUAAGUUGGCUGAAAACGUGUUCCCCGUACCUAGAACAUAAUCAAUUCACGCACGAUUCGAAAUUCCUAGCUUGUUUGGCGCGAUAAACUCGCAUUUCCGGUAAUUACGAGUAAGUUGCUAAGGUUGGUGUUAAAGAUUUGUUGCUAGUAUUUGUACUGCUGUAUGACCUUUUUACUUCCAUUAUGUAAAAUAAAAUGUGGGGUUUGAUUUUAAGUUUAUUCAAGUUUGACGUUGUAUUAUUUAAGGACAUCUUGAUUCCUGCGUGGUGUAACUAAAGUACUCUGUAUUUAUCUCAGAUUGAAAUAAAAAAAACUCUGGUUGUAUUUGUUGUAAAAA